rnacentral:rRNA from 1 species
UUGGUGACCAGCGGAGGGAUCAUUAAAGAGUUCUAUAACUCCCAAACCCAUGUGAACAUACCUAACGUUGCCUCGGCAGGUCGCACCUACCUUGUAGCACCCUACCCUGUAGGGCCUACCCGGGAGGUGCGGGUAAGCCUGCCGGCGGCCCACCAAACUCUGUUUGAUAUUGAAUUCUGAACCUAUAACUAAAUAAGUUAAAACUUUCAACAACGGAUCUCUUGGUUCUGGCAUCGAUGAAGAACGCAGCGAAAUGCGAUAAGUAAUGUGAAUUGCAGAAUUCAGUGAAUCAUCGAAUCUUUGAACGCAUAUUGCGCCCAUUAGUAUUCUAGUGGGCAGGACCGUUCGAGCGUCAUUUCAACCCUUAAGCCUUCGUUGCUUAGUGUUGGGAGCCUACGGCAACGUAGCUCCUCAAAGUUAGUGGCGGAGUUGGUUCACACUCUAGACGUAGUAAUUUUUUAUCUCGCCUAUUAGUUGGACUAAUCCCCUGCCGUAAAACCCCCAAUUUAUCAAGGUUGACCUCGAAUCGGUUCAGACAAACUCGCUAAAUUGAAGCAUCUUAGUCAGCGAAGGAAAAGAAACCAACAGGGAUUGCCCUAGUAACGGCGAGUGAAGCGGCAACAGCUCAAAUUUGAAAUCUGGCCCUCGGG